AGAGAACCCCUGGAAUUGAAACUGGGCACUUCCACAGUCAAUGAGGAAGAGCACAGAGGUGAAGUGUCCUUCUCAUCAUAUCAGAUCGGGAUAUGUCUACCAACAUGACUUACCAUGGUUGACCUUGAAAACCUGGCUUAGACCUGGACCCUGGAAGCAAAGCGAGGACGUUACCUACCCC